rnacentral:misc_RNA from 1 species
AAGUCGUAACAAGGUUUCCGUAGGUGAACCUGCGGAAGGAUCAUUAACAAAACAACACCCUUGGGAGAGAGUGGGUCACACAUUGCCAAAAGCGAUGUGGUGGUGCUCAUGCUCUCUCAUAUACACCUUUGUGAAUCGGGCGAAGCGCAGCGAUGCGUCGAGCUUAGUCGGGCGUGGGCGUGAGUGAGUGUGAGUGUGAGUGUGCGUGUUGUUUGCGGUGCAAGCGCGAGUUUGCCAGCAUACAUACAUUAUACACACAAACACAAACACAAACAUCAUCAUAAUAUAUAUAAUGUCUAAUCUUUUGUUGUCGAAAGACAAAACAAGCAAAAAACAAAACAACUUUUAACAAUGGAUCUCUAGGCUCUU